UACGUAGGUGGCAAGCGUUGUCCGGAUUUAUUGGGUUUAAAGGGUGCGUAGGCGGUCUUUUAAGUCAGUGCUGAAAUACUCCAGCUUAACUGGAGGGGUGGCACUGAUACUGGAAGACUUGAGUAUAGUUGAGGUAGGCGGAAUUGACGGUGUAGCGGUGAAAUGCUUAGAUAUCGUCAAGAACACCGAUAGUGAAGACAGCUUACUAAACUAUAACUGACGCUGAGGCACGAAAGUGUGGGGAUCAAACAGG
rnacentral:rRNA from 1 species